rnacentral:rRNA from 1 species
UCAGGAUGAACGCUGGCGGCGUGCCUAACACAUGCAAGUCGAACGGAAGGUAAGCGCUUCGGAGGCUUCGGCCAAUGUAUGCUUAUCUUAGUGGCGGACGGGUGAGUAACCGCGUGGAUAACCUGCCAUAUACAGGGGGGAUAACAGUUAGAAAUGACUGCUAAUACCGCAUAAGCGCACGGAAACGCAUGUUUCAGUGUGAAAAACUCCGAUGGUAUAUGAUGGAUCCGCGUCUGAUUAGCCAGUUGGCGGGGUAACGGCCCACCAAAGCGACGAUCAGUAGCCGGCCUGAGAGGGUGAACGGCCACAUUGGGACUGAGACACGGCCCAAACUCCUACGGGAGGCAGCAGUGGGGGAUAUUGCACAAUGGGGGAAACCCUGAUGCAGCGACGCCCGCGUGAGUGAAGAAGUAUUUCGGUAUGUAAAGCUCUAUCAGCAGGGAAGAUAAUGACGGUACCUGACUAAGAAGCACCGGCUAAAUACGUGCCAGCAGCAGC